AACGCGAAGAACCUUACCUGGGCUCGAAAUGUAGUGGAAUAGGGUGGAAACAUCCUAGUCUCGCAAGAGACUGCUAUAUAGGUGCUGCAUGGCUGUCGUCAGCUCGUGUCGUGAGAUGUUGGGUUAAGUCCCGCAACGAGCGCAACCCUUAUCCCUAGUUGCCAUCGGGUCAAGCCGGGCACUCUAGUGAAACCGCCCGGGAUAACCGGGAGGAAGGUGGGGAUGACGUCAAGUCCUCAUGGCCUUUAUGUCCAGGGCUACACACGUGCUACAAUGGUCGGUACAAACCGUCGCAAACCCGCGAGGGGGAGCUAAUCGGAAAAAGCCGGCCUCAGUUCGGAUUGGAGUCUGCAACCCGACUCCAUGAAGCUGGAAUCGCUAGUAAUCGCGGAUCAGAACGCCGCGGUGAAUACGUUCCCGGGCCUUGUACACACCGCGUGUCU
rnacentral:rRNA from 1 species